rnacentral:rRNA from 1 species
CACUAUGCUCAGUCGUAAACAUUGAUCGAACUCUACAACCCCGAUCCGCCUGGGAAUUACGGACACUAGUCUGAAACCCAAAGGACUUGGCGGUGCUUUACAUCCACCUAGAGGAGCCUGUCCUGUAACCGAUUCUCCCCGUUAAACCUCACCCUCUCUUGCUCUUUCCGCCUAUAUACCGCCGUCGUCAGCUUACCCUGUGAAGGUCCAAUAGUAAGCACAAUCGGCACAGCCCAGUACGUCAGGUCGAGGUGUAGUGAAUGAGAGGGGAAGAGAUGGGCUACAUUCGCUAACAAUAGCGAACACGAAUAUUGCAUUGAAACAUGCAACUGAAGGAGGAUUUAGUAGUAAGCCGGAAACAGAGUGUCCUGCUGAAAUUGGCUCUAAAGCGCGUACAUACCGCCCGUCACCCUCUCUAAGUCUACAGAACUACCUUUAUCUAAAACCUUUCAACUGCAAAAGGGAGGAAAGUCGUAA